rnacentral:tRNA from 1 species
GCGGGAGUGGCGGAACUGGCAGACGCACCAGACUUAGGAUCUGGCGGGAAACCGUGGGGGUUCAAGUCCCUUCUCCCGCACCA